rnacentral:miRNA from 1 species
GUGAGGCGGGGCCAGGAGGGUGUGU